rnacentral:rRNA from 1 species
CCUACGGGAGGCAGCAGUGAGGAAUAUUGGUCAAUGGACGGAAGUCUGAACCAGCCAUGCCGCGUGCAGGAAGACGGCUCUAUGAGUUGUAAACUGCUGUUGUACAAGGGGAAACCUGAAUACGUGGAUGCAGCUGAAAGUACGGUACGAAUAAGGAUCGGCUAACUCCGUGCCAGCAGCCGCGGUAAUACGGAGGAUCCAAGCGUUCUCCGGAUUUAUUGGGGUUAAAGGGUGCGUAGGCGGAUUGAUAAGUUAGAGGUGAAAUGUCCGAGCUUAACUCGGGAACUGCCUCUAAUACUGUUGCUCUCGAGCGUAGAUGCGGUAGGCGUACUGU